rnacentral:rRNA from 1 species
UACGUAGGGUGCAAGCGUUACUCGGAAUCAUUGGGCGUAAAGCGCAUGUAGGCGGCUUUGUAAGUCUGAUGUGAAAGCCCUGGACUCAAUCCAGGAAGUGCAUUGGAUACUGCUUAGCUAGAGUACAGGAGAGGUGGAUGGAAUUCCUGGUGUAGAGGUGAAAUUCGUAGAUAUCAGGAGGAACAACAGAGGCGAAGGCGAUUCACUGGACUGUAACUGACGCUGAGAUGCGAAAGUGUGGGGAGCAAAC